GUCAAUUGUUGAGGAUUUGAUUUUGCCCAUUGAUGAGUGGUUCUUGCCCGUUGAUGAUGAUGAAUGGCUUUGUCAAUUAUAGUCCCAUUGAGGAAGAGAGGCUUCGACCUAAGGUGGAGAAAAGACAUAAAAUUCAAAAGAAAAGCAUUCUUGUCCAUUGAUGAGAGGGUUCUUGCCCAUGCAAUUGAAGACACCUUUUGUAGUGUAGUAGGUAAAGUAGUAAAUAUAUUAAGUUAUGUCUAAAGGAGAUUGAGAGAACUAAUUAAUGUAUUUACUAUGAGCAGUUAUGUGGGUGUAAUUGGGUUGAUGGAUAGUAUAAUUUUGAGCUUGUAA
rnacentral:misc_RNA from 1 species